UACGGAGGGGGCUAGCGUUGUUCGGAAUUACUGGGCGUAAAGCGCGCGUAGGCGGACCUGCAAGUCGGGGGUGAAAGCCCGAGGCUCAACCUCGGAACUGCCUUCGAUACUGCGGGUCUCGAGUCCGGGAGAGGCGAGUGGAAUUCCGAGUGUAGAGGUGAAAUUCGUAGAUAUUCGCAAGAACACCAGUGGCGAAGGCGGCUUACUGGCCCGGUACUGACGCUGAGGUGCGAAAGCGUGGGGAGCAAACAGG
rnacentral:rRNA from 1 species